GAUGAACGCUGGCGGCGUGCUUAACACAUGCAAGUCGAACGGAAAGGCUCCUGCUUGCAGGGGUACUCGAGUGGCGAACGGGUGAGUAACACGUGGGUGAUCUGCCCUGCACUUCGGGAUAAGCCGGGGAAACUGGGUCUAAUACCGGAUAGGACCACAUUUUGGAUGGUGUGGUGGAAAGUUUUUCGGUGUGGGAUGAGCUCGCGGCCUAUCAGCUUGUUGGUGGGGUAAUGGCCUACCAAGGCGUCGACGGGUAGCCGGCCUGAGAGGGUGUACGGCCACAUUGGGACUGAGAUACGGCCCAGACUCCUACGGGAGGCAGCAGUGGGGAAUAUUGCACAAUGGGCGCAAGCCUGAUGCAGCGACGCCGCGUGGGGGAUGACGGCCUUCGGGUUGUAAACUCCUUUCGCUAGGGACGAAGCGCAAGAGACGGUACCUGGAGAAGAAGCACCGGCUAACUACGUG
rnacentral:rRNA from 1 species